CCUUCGGGAAGUGGAUUAGCGGCGGACGGGUGAGUAACACGUGGGUAACCUGCCUCAAAGUGGGGGAUAGCCUUCCGAAAGGAAGAUUAAUACCGCAUAACAUAAGAGAAUCGCAUGAUUUUCUUAUCAAAGAUUUAUUGCUUUGAGAUGGACCCGCGGCGCAUUAGCUAGUUGGUAAGGUAACGGCUUACCAAGGCAACGAUGCGUAGCCGACCUGAGAGGGUGAUCGGCCACAUUGGAACUGAGACACGGUCCAGACUCCUACGGGAGGCAGCAGUGGGGAAUAUUGCGCAAUGGGGGAAACCCUGACGCAGCAACGCCGCGUGGGUGAUGAAGGUCUUCGGAUUGUAAAGCCCUGUUUUCUGGGACGAUAAUGACGGUACCAGAGGAGGAAGCCACGGCUAACUACGUGCCAGCAGCCGCGGUAAUACGUAGGUGGCGAGCGUUGUCCGGAUUUACUGGGCGUAAAGGGUGCGUAGGCGGAUGUUUAAGUGGGAUGUGAAAUCCCCGGGCUUAACCUGGGGGCUGCAUUCCAAACUGGAUAUCUAGAGUGCAGGAGAGGAAAGCGGAAUUCCUAGUGUAGCGGUGAAAUGCGUAGAGAUUAGGAAGAACACCAGUGGCGAAGGCGGCUUUCUGGACUGUAACUGACGCUGAGGCACGAAAGCGUGGGUAGCAAACAGGAUUAGAUACCCUGGUAGUCCACGCCGU
rnacentral:rRNA from 1 species